rnacentral:rRNA from 1 species
GGUACCUGACUAAGAAGCCCCGGCUAAAUACGUCCCAGCAGCCGCGGUAAUAUGUAGGUGGCAAGCGUUAUCCGGAUUUACUGGGUGUAAAGGGAGCGUAGGUGGCAGGGCAAGUCAGAUGUGAAAACCCGGGGCUCAACCCCGGGAGUGCAUUUGAAACUGUCCAGCUGGAGUGCAGGAGAGGUAAGCGGAAUUCCUAGUGUAGCGGUGAAAUGCAUAGAUAUUAGGAGAAACACCAGUGGCGAAGGCGGCUUACUGGACUGUAACUGACACUGAGGCUAGAAAGCGUGGGGAGCACACAAAAUUAGAUCCCCUGGUAGUCCACGCCGUAAACGAUCACUAAAAGGUGUCGGGGCCCACAGGGGCUUCGGUGCCGCAGCCAACGCAUUAAGUAUUCCACCUGGGGAGUACGUUCGCAAGAAUGAAACUCAAAGGAAUUGACGGGGACCCGCACAAGCGGUGGAGCAUGUGGUUUAAUUUGAAGCAACGCGGAGAACCUUACCAAGUCUUGACAUCCUGCUGACCGUCCCUUAGCCGGGGCUUUCCUUCGGGACAGCAGAGACAGGUGGUGCAUGGUUGUCGUCAGCUCGUGUCGUGAGAUGUUGGGUUAAGUCCCGCAACGAGCGCAACCCUUAUCCUCAGUAGCCAGCAUUACGGAUGGGAACUCUGGGGAGACUGCCGGAGACAAUCCGGAGGAAGGUGGGGAUGACGUCAAAUCAUCAUGCCCCUUAUGACUUGGGCUACACACGUGCUACAAUGGUGGUAACAAAGUGAAGCGACCCCGUGAGGGUGAGCCAACCACAGAAAAGCCAUCUCAGUUCGGAUUGUAGUCUGCAACCCGACUACAUGAAGCUGGAAUCGCUAGUAAUCGCAGAUCAGAAUGCUGCGGUGAAUACGUUCCCGGGUCUUGUACACACCGCCCGUCA